ACUGGGUGCAGUGGCACACACCUAUAAUAGCUGCUACCUUGGAGACUGAGGCUGGGAGAACUUUUGAGUUCAGGGGUUCUGAGCUGCAUUGGGUUAAGCCAACUGAGUGUCCCGGAUCAAUAUAGUGAGCCUCUGGGAAUAGGGAGGGAGAACUCGGUUGGCUAAGGAGGGGCGAAUGACCCAAGUCUGAAAUGGAGCAGGUCAAGCCACUGUGCUGAUUAAUUGUGGGAUCAGGCCAUGAGGAGCCCUUGCACUUCCAACCUGGGCAAAAAAGGGAUGCACAGUUUUU
rnacentral:SRP_RNA from 1 species